GGUGGCUCAGUGGUAGAGCGCUUGCCUAGCAUGCAUGAGGCCCUGGGUUCAAUUCCUCAGCACCU
rnacentral:tRNA from 1 species